GGGCGGGGUGGCAGUCGUGCCCGGGGCGCCACCUGGCUCUUCUUGCAGGGGUGUUCAGGUUGGGGAGGCUAUGUCGGAAACGGCUUGGGGCUCACGUGUUGGGGGCAACCUGUGGUCCCUGCCUUGGCAUGGCUGCCUGAGUCUCCAGGGCCGGCCUCUGAGCCAACAGCAACCCCCAUCCCCGGUUUCCAGAAUCUGGAAACCUCAGGGCUGGACAUCCCCUUCCCACAGGACUGCAGCUACAGCAGUAACAAAUCAUCCUGGUGGAAGGCAGUGCUCAUCCAGCACCUACUCACCAGGCCCCCUUCUAAGCACUCUACAGGGAUUG